rnacentral:tRNA from 1 species
AAAAAGAUAAGCUAAGUAAGCUAUUAGGUUCAUACCCUAAACAUAGAAUUAAUACUCUUCUUUUUA